UACAGGGGGUGCAAACGUUGCUCGGAAUCAUUGGGCGUAAAGCGCACGUAGGCGGUUCGUUAUGUCGGAUGUGAAAGCCCUUGGCUUAACCGAGGAAGUGCAUCCGAAACUGGCGAGCUAGAGUACUGAAAGAGGAUCGCGGAAUUCCCGGUGUAGAGGUGAAAUUCGUAGAUAUCGGGAGGAACGACCGGUGGCGAAGGCGGCGAUCUGGGUAGAUACUGACGCUGAGGUGCGAAAGCGUGGGGGAGCAAACAGGGAUUAAGAAACCC
rnacentral:rRNA from 1 species